AAGCACUCUGGCCAGGGAAAGCCAGAGCUCUGGCUCCACAAUCCCCACUCCAGGCAGCAAAAGCCACGUCUGAGCCGGGGUUCCAGCCAGCCCAUGGCACGGGGGGCUCUGCCUUAGCCCACAUGGAGCUACCAGCCACGCAGCACAGUCUCUGCACGAAACCGCCAAAGCUCCGGCUGUAAUAUCCUGCCCAACCGUGUCCUGCUGCCCAACGAACCCCCUGGGACGCCUGACAUGUCCCCCUGCAACAGCAGCCCCGUCUCUGCCCCAGCCCCAGCAGGAGGCUCCAGGCAGGUUGGCGGCCACGGCUGGAGGGAUGAGGCUGGGAUGGGGUGACCAGGUGGGGCGACCAGAUCUCUGCUGGCCCCGUGGGACAAGGGACAACAUCUCGCAGGUGCCAGGACUGGUGACACCCCCACUCUGCCUUUGCCCACUGCAUGGUGGAUUUGACCUCGUGCCGUGCCAAUGCCAGGCGUUCCUUGCCCCUCCAGGCUCUGCAGGUGCUUUUGGGGUUUCACAUAGCGAUGCUCGGUCCAGUCCUUCCCACCACCACAGCUAUUUGAGCCCCCAGCUCCCGCUGGCACUGUGGGCUCCUCCUUCGGGUCAGCUGGAUUUCCUCCUGAAAGUGAAUUAUUGACUCCCGAAGCACAUGAGGUCGGCUGCUCCGCCGGGGGGCCGGGAAUUGCUCUAAGGAAAGUCCCUCGCUCGCAGCUUUGCCUUUCAAUGAGAUUAAAUUGGAGCCAAAGCUGCCAUUUGUUUGGCACGGAGAGCCGGGAACAUGUGCGAGCCACAUGGCGAUGGCUGUGCCGGCCAAGGGCCACGCUGGGGCCGGAGGAUGCGCCCGGGUGCCCACCCGCAGGUCAGCCCAGCGUCCUGCUCGCUUUCUAACGCACCGACGGAGGGAACCAGCACAAAGCCGCCUGCAGACAUAUGGCGGGGAUGAGCACAGCGGGGGGGCAGCCCAGCUCUCCCACAAUUAAUUUGCUUUGCCGUUCCGCCGCAGCGAGCGGUGAACCAGCUGCUUCCCUUGGCCCCUUCCAUAAAUCCCCUGCCCCGGGGGUCCUGCUGUGACCUCCCCGCACGGGCUGCACUUGCCAGGGAUGCGGGGUUUGGGGUGAGCACCCCUGCGCCCCCUUCCUGAGCGCCCCAGCACGGGCGCUGCACCAAGUGCCACCAAGUCACCCCGGGAGGAGCCGGUGCUGGGCCGGGGCGCUGCUCAGCUGGGCAGCAUCUGCUGGAGGCUGGGCCGGCGGCCAGUGGGGGUAAAUGGAAACUGCUGCUCCCUCCCCGCCCCGCGCGGCUCCUUUGGUGAAGGGACUCGCUCACGCUUUUCAUUAAAUCCCCCUCGUGCUUUUUCCUUAUUUUAUUUUCCCAUCCCAAAAAGGUUGCGGCGCUUUCCUGGCUCCAUGAGAUGACAAAGAGCCUCUUAAACGUCUGCUGUCACCUCUUGGAAUUAAAUCCGAAGGCUCCGGGGGGUUCGGUGCUGGGGGAGAAUCCUUUUGGCUGCAGGCGGUCUCGCUGCUCUCCGAGCGCAACCAGAGGCUCCAUCCACCUGCACGCGGCUCCGUGUGCCGAGCGGAGCCGCUCACACCCCUGGGGGGGCCCAGAAUUGUGCAAGCCAGUGCGCCCCCGCACUCCGAAAAGCGACGGUUCAAUUAGCAAACCAAAUCACAGCUGGGUGAAAUAUUGCGCUAAGUCUCUCUCUCAAGGACAGCGCUCGCAGCACCCUCGGAGUUGCCGUCUCUCUCCCUUGUUAUUGUUCUCCGGGCCUGGCCAGAUCUCAUCUGAGCAAACCCAAGUGGCGUUUCUUCCCCCCCAGCCUCACCGGAGCCCCCAGGACCAGCCCAAGUUAAACACAUGGUACGAGCUCCUGCCCCCAAACUUUUCAUUGAUCUUACUAAAAAUCACCUUCCCGACAGAGACAGUAACACAGUAAUGGUAAGUUAUAAAUAAUGAUGAAUAAAUAAUACACAUUGGGAAAAUAUCAUCCCGGCUGCUCACAGCAGGGGAGAGAGACCCAAAGCACCCAAAAGCGCAGCCGUGGGGUUGGGGAACCAGCACUCCCCAAACCAACAAAAAAUCCCCGAUUUCCAUUCCUGUUGGAGCGUCCCAAUCUGGUUCUGAUUAUACUCUUUGAUUUCCACGCCUGUAAUUUCUCCCGAUGCCUUUCUCCAUCCCCCACCCUUUUCCACGUGCCGGUCCCCAGCUUGGGGACCCUCCUGCCCGUUCUUCUCCCUUUCUGUGUCUUUGCAGCGGGAUCCAUCACCCGGCUGCAGCGGGGGAUUCGCGGCCACGGCCGAGAUGAAUCUCUGGUUCCUUAUAAGGCCCGACCGAAGGAAUCUCCGGCAAGCGGAGCCCACGGUGUCCGGGAAACUCGAUCCCUCCUCGGGAAGGAGCCGCGGCAAGAGCGUGAGGCAGUAAAAAUAGACCGCGGUUCCUCUCCCUGAGAAAGGAGGGAGAUUUUGUACCAUUUAAAAUAACACUUGGGCCAGGCAGGGGGGGAGAGAAUCGCUCCUCGUGGCACAUAUAAUAAAGGACAUAAAUAUGUCUGCA